UCCUCCGCAUGUCCGAGUCCCAGACGCCGAGAGAAGAAACGCCGGACAGAGGCAUAGUUUUACCUGCUGAUCUACCCUUCUAACUAUUGCUCCGAUACGAGGUCUCUGAGCCAUUUAAAGAGAGUUCGUAGAUUUACCGUGUGCGCAAACAGUUUGUAGGGCUUCUUUACUCGAUGAAAACAUCUCCCUUCGUCCCUAAAUUUUAGGGCGCCAUUUCAAAUCGAGCUCCCUGCAGUCGCCCGGUCGCAGCGAACAAAUAUCUCCCUCAUUUUUCAAAUCUCCUCUCUUCCUUCCUCGUCCUCGCGCUUGUCUUCGCUAGUAGAUAGCACUCUGACCACCGUCUCCGAUUCAAUGGCUGUGCCGCAGAACUCCCCUGCCGACGGAAGCCUCGAUGCCGAAGAACGCAUCCAGCCGGAUGGGGCGUCUUCGUCCUCCCCCGCCCGGCCCUUCGACCGACUCGUUGUUCCGGGCCUCGAUGACGAUGCUGACAAUCCCGGGAAGCCGAAGACUUGCCAUCAGUGCCGGCAGAAGAGGACGGAUUUCUCAGCGCCGUGCGGGCAGAUCCGGCGGGGUAAACCUUGCCCCAUUAAGUAUUGUCAUAAAUGCCUCCUCAAUAGGUACGGGGAGAAACCUGAGGAUGCUUCUUUGCUGGAGAGUUGGAUUUGUCCCAAGUGCCGCGGUGAUUGCAACUGCAGUCUCUGCAUGAAAAAGAAGGGUCACCAACCCACUGGAAUAUUAAUCCACAGAGCAAAGUCUACUGGAUUUACUUCAGUCCAUGAACUGCUAUUGAAGCAGGGAUCUGAUGUUUUAAGAAGUUCAAACAGAUUAAGAAGUUCAAAAAUGGACACCUCUAAAAAGCUGUCAAUAUCUCCUAGAAGGAUCGUUGAUCAAGAGAAUUGCCUUGAUGAACUAAGGGAUCCUGAAUCUUCUGGAUCCGAUGAUAAAAACAUUAAAACAUCUGCACAAAAGGAGAAGAAAAGUAUUUCAAAGAAACGAAGGCAUGCAGACUCCCCCAUGUAUAAUUCUGAUGGCAAUGUGGCAAUUGUGAUUCCUCAGGGUCAAUUGUUAACAGAGGUUGCAGAGUCUGCAUGGGCAGAUGAGGAUGUAGGAGCAGCCUUGCAAUUUUUGGAAUUCUGCAAUGCAUUUUCUGAGGUACUUGAUAUAAAGAAGGGAGAACCAAAAAGUGUUCUUUGGGAACUUGCUAAAGGAUCUGUUGGGCGCAGAGGACAGUAUUCCUCUACUGUAAAGUUCCAUAUGAAACUAUUGUCAUUUAUACAAAAUGGCAAGGGUGGUGAUAGGUCUGUCUCAAAUUCAACAAUGAAUGAAGAUAAAUGGCUACAAUUAGUUAUCAAAUGUUUAAAUGACUCUGACGGUGACCGGAAGGCCCCUUUGGAAGUUUUGGAUGAGGUUUCUUUGGAAUAUGACAGUUGGAUUCCAUCGGAUAAGCUCCGACUCUUGAACCUUCUCUGUGAUAAGACACUAGAGACCAAGGAAUUGCGGGACUGGAUUGAUGGAGAGAAUCAAAGAUACAUUGAAAGGAAAAAGGAAGCUAAAGGAACAAUUGUUGCAGCUAACAAAAAGAAAAAGGAUUUAAAGAAAAAACUGAAGGAUGAAAUGGCCAAAGCAACACUUUCUUUGAAUGGACCUAUUUCUAGUGAGGACCAUGAAAAUCUUAUGUCACAGAUAAGAGCAGAGACAGAGAAAGCACAUGCAGAGAAGCAAGAGAUAAUGGAACAAUUACCAAAGACAGAUUUUGAUAGCAUAUGCCGACAUGCUGUACGGACAGAGUCUAUAUACUUGGAAGGAGAGGGACAUGUUUAUUGGAAACUGGGAAGCUAUUAUGGUGGCUCCAACAUCUUACACCAAGUUUUACAGAGUUGGGAUUCGGCGAUGCUUGAGGAUAAAUGGUAUGCAUAUGGAGAAGAAGAAGAUAAAUUAGUGGAGAGAGAUAUUUCCUUUUUGCGUGUUGUUAGAGGCGUGAGGCGGACCGAGGUGCAAAAGGCUCCUAGAGCCCGAGGCGCGAGGCGCGCCUGAGGCGCACGCCUCUUGAACAUGAGGUUGAUGACUACUAGACUAUUGCCACACUCAUAUACUAUGUCAAAUAUGAUAACUAUUAAUAUUCCACACACAUCAAUAUCAAAUAUAGCAAGCAGAACAACACCAUAAUAAAAUUAAUAAAAGUUUCAAACUUUCAAGUUUCAACUUUCUAAUUUAAACUAACAAAGUCCAUCAAAACAAGCGUAAUAAGUCAAAUUAAUCAUCAAGCUCAAGAUCAUCCUCAUUGUAUUCUUCUUCUUCGUUAUCUUCAUCUUCUUCAAAUUCAAUUUCUUCUUCUUCUUCUUCUUCUUCAUUUCUAAAUCUUAGAGAUGAGUGUCUCAUAGAGGAAGAUGCAUUUCCUUUCUCGACUUGUUUAGGCCUAGCAUUUGAACUAGAGGUCAUGGUUGCAAUAUUUUUUCCUCUAGUACAAUAUUCAGGCUCUUCAGCUCCACUAGCCCUAGCAACGACAUCCCAUGUCAAGUCAUCACCUUCAAAAAUCAACUCAUCUUCUUCAUUAUCACUUUCUCCAUCCAUUCUACCCAUCAACCAUUCAUUACUAUCAUCAAUAUCUGUCAAAGAGAUGGGGUCAAUCUUAUCACGUGCAUCAUACCGAAGCUUUAAGGCACGAUUGUAUUUCACAAAUACCAAAUCAUUUAAGUGCUGUUGAGCUAGCCUAUUUCUUUUUUUGCUGUGAAUCUACAAAAUGUCAAAAAUCACAAUAAGUAUAAUAAAAUAUCAAAGAAUAUUUUCUACUUAUAAAAGUAGCAUACUAAUAGAGUAUCAAACAUUUAUAUUUAUUACAUACCUGCUCAAAUACACUCCAAUUGCGCUCACAACCAGAAGCACUAUAAGUGAGGCUAAGCACUUUAAUAGCAAACUUUUGUAAUUCUGGGGUAUUUGCUCCGUAGCAUUCCCACCAUUCUACUGGAGAUAAUGCUCUUCUAUGUCUAAUUGCUACAUUCCUCCCAAAUAGCCCUUCUGCCUUUCGAUAUAUAGAGAGCUGGGCAGUGAUUUUAUCUUGCUCGGCAGCGUUUGAAACCAAUCUCUCCAUAGUUUCAAACAAACCAUUCACCACUUCUCCACAAAUAUUUGAAUCUGUGUAUGAAUAAAAAUAUUCUGGAUUCAAAUAAUGUCCUGCAGCAUGCAGAGGCCGAUGAAGUUGGCAUUCCCAUCUCUUAUCAAUGAUCUCAAACACUUCUUUGUAUUUCUCUUCUUUCUCCUUAAAGGCCUUCAUAAUUGUUUCUUUUGCCCUAUCCAUAGCCUCAUAAAUAUACCCCAUUGCAGGUUUUCUUUCGCCAUCAACCAGUCUCAGAACACGGACUAAAGGGCUAUAUAUUUUUAAAAUAUGCACAAUACUGCUCCAAAAUCUAAGUGUCAUGAUGAUUUUAGCUACCUUCUUCCCCGCCGCUUCUUUUGCCCAUUUACUCUCUGUCCAAUCCUUUGAAAUGAACAUUUUUCUUAAAUUUUGCUUCUGUAGAUGCAUCCUUUCAAGAGUGAGAAAAGCAGUAGCAAAUCUUGUGACACCCGCCCGACAAGCUCUUUUUGUCUUGUGAAUUGCCUCAAUAUAUUUACCAUGUCGGGGCGAACAUAAAUGUAAGCAUUUACACUCAUUGCCUUCUUCAAUGUUGCUUUAAAAUCAGGCAAUUUCCCAAUAUCUUCUAAGAUCAAGUCGACGUAGUGAGCAGCACAAGGAGUCCGAUACAAGUGUGAUCUUUUUACUUCUAAUAAUUUUCCUAUAAAAAAAGUUAGAAAACUAGAUAAUUUUAACAUAUAUAAGAAAAAACAUAAUGAUAAGAAAAAAUUAAAUAAAUUCUUACCAGCAAGCACAUUGUUACUUGCACUAUCCGUUACAACUUGAAUAACAUUUACUUCUCCUAUACACUCCACAAAUCGAUCAAGCAACUGAAAUAUUUUCUCUCCAGUUUUUGCAUAAUCAGAAGCAUCUACCGAUUCGAUGAAAACUGAACCUUUAGGAGAAUUCACUAAAAAAAUUAAUCAAUGUCCUCUGUCUUUUGUCUGUCCACCAAUCCGCCAUCAAACUACAACCAUACUUUGCCCAUUCUGUUUUACACGACUUAAUGUAAUCAUUAGUCACAUUAUCAACAGCCUUUUUUAGAAAAGGAACCCGCACCUCAUGAUAACUAGGUCCUUUUAGACCUACACCAUAUUGACGAACCAAGUCCAACAUCCUUUUGAAGCUUGAAUAGUUAACGACAUUAAAAGGAAUUGCCGCAUCAUACAUCUACUCAGUUAUAUCCAUACAAGUUUUUUCCCUCAAUUCUUUCUUGUAUGCCUCAUUUAUCAUAGUUUGCCUCUCUUUACCCUUUCUACUUUCAACAUUUUUUUACACAUUAGGAGCAAAAUAUGUAUCCAUUGGACCUAUUUGUCUUGGCCUUUUUUGCAUAUUCACUGAUCUAGAACUUGUACUUGUACUUGUACUUAUAGGCGGUACAACUUUAGCUCCAAUAUCAUCUAUAUCAAUAUCAUCACCAAGAGGGUCUACAUCCUCAAAAUCUAAUGUCACAAGUUUAGAAAGAUUGCUUUUCUCUACCUUUUUCUCCAGGAAAUUUUUUAUUUCUUCACGUACAUGAGGCGGACAUUUCUUGCAAGUCGUAGUAUUUCGAAACCCUCCAACAAGAUGCUGUUUUGCACGAUAGAUACCUCAUUUUGUAACUUUUUGACAAAAGUUACAAAUCAAAUCAUUUUUGUUAUUCGGAUUAACUCUUUGAAAAUAAUUCCAUGCUGGAUCUUUUGAUAUAUAUGUUGGAGUAUCAUUACUACCUUCCAUGAUAAUUGAACAAGAAAAUAACCUAAAAAAUUAAAAACAAAAUAAAAAAAAAAUUAAUAAAUUAAUGGAAUGGUAAACUACUAUACCUAAUAUCAAUAAUAAUAGAAAAGUACUAUACCACUGGUACCAGCAAUAGAAAAAUAGGAAAAUAAAAAGAAAAACAAGGACAACUGCUUGAUUAUGCAAAAGGGGAGAGAAAAUAUUUGCACAUCACAUUACUAGCAAGCACAUUGUUUUAAUUGGCUAAAAUUACCGGCAAACAGGGACAGCAUCACAGUUUUCACAGCAGCAACAGUUUUUUACAGUCCCAGCAACAAAAAAACAAAAAAAAAACAAAAAGAAAAACAGCAAAAAAAAAAAAGAAAUAAAGAAACGGGACAGCAUCACAGCAGCAGCAGUUUUGCUGUCAACGAGAAGGGAAAAAACAAAAAAGAAAACAUAGGAAGAAGAUAUAACAGAGAGAAGAAACGAAAGUGAUGAAAAAACAUUGAAAACUUGAAAUAUUGAAUAGUGAAAACGACGAAAAGAAGAAGAAGAAAAAAAAAGGAAAAACAGAAAAAGAAGAGAAGGAGCGAAGAAGCGAAGCGAAGAAGAUUACAAAAGAAGAAGAUGAAGUGAAGAAUAGAAAAACAAAAAAAAAAGAUGGAAAAAACGCAUACCUGGGCAGCGACGGAAGCAACUCAGCAGCGGCGGCGGCAGUGGAGGAUGGCGCGAUUCUUCUACAAGUAAGAGGAACGUGGAAAGCUCACUGAGGCAAAAGUCAGUGCUAUUGCAUAGUGCUGGCAAUAAUUCCUCCAACGAUCCAUCUUCAAGUUGCUCAGACACGGAGGGCGAGGAAGGUGCUUGUGGAAGCGGGAACUCAGAAACUGGGCAAGAGGCACAACAAUUGGAUUCCGGAAGUGGCCAGGAGAUGCAGCAAUUGGAUUCAG